CCCGCCGGCUACCGUGGAGAUGACAAAGAAGCAGGGAGCAACCAGCCUUACAGAUACAACAAUAGUCAUCAUUGUUUCAGUGAGCCUGGCUCUUCUGGUUUGUGCAAUUAUCCCUGUAAUAUUUUAUGGACACUGGCGCAGUAAUGCAGUUGGUGAGAACAUAUCUGUGACCAACACGGAUGAGGGAGAUUACUGUGUGGAACAUA